rnacentral:tRNA from 1 species
GCCCGGAUGGUGGAAUUGGUAGACACGCUAGUUUCAGGUACUAGAGCUCAAUCGGGUGUGCAAGUUCAAGUCUUGUUCCGGGCA